AUAUUGGGCAAUGCCCGCAAGGGUGACCCAGCAACGCCGCGUGGAGGAUGAAUGUCGUAAGAUUGUAAACUCCUGUUAGAGGGGAAGAAUAGUACCGGUUGGACCGGUAUAUGACUGUACCCUCAGAGAAAGCCCCGGCUAACUACGUGCCAGCAGCCGCGGUGAUACGUAGGGGGCAAGCGUUGUCCGGAUUUACUGGGUGUAAAGGGCGCGCAGGCGGGAUAAAAAGUCAGUGGUGAAAUCCUACAGCUUAACUGUAGAACUGCCUUUGAUACUUUUAUUCUUGAGUUCGGGAGAGAGAGACGGAAUUCCAGGUGUAGUGGUGAAAUACGUAGAUAUCUGGAAGAACACCAGUUGCGAAGGCGGUCUCUUGGUCCGACACUGACGCUGAGGCGCGAAAGCGUGGGGAGCAAACA
rnacentral:rRNA from 1 species